rnacentral:sRNA from 1 species
UUUGCUAUAAUAAAUUUUAACUUCUUGCUGAGCAUGUUCAGCAAGGAGCCAUCUCCUUUGUGUUGUUUAUAGUAACAAACAAAUUUUUGCUCAACGUAUGUAAAUGUGACUUAGUCCUUCGCGUUUACAUACCAUUAAUUCAUUUCCCGUAAAGCCAAGUAAUGAUGAACGUGUCUCCUCACUUCAUUGUCUUGGCUUU